rnacentral:rRNA from 1 species
UGGGGAAUUUUGGACAAUGGGGGAAACCCUGAUCCAGCCAUCCCGCGUGUGCGAUGAAGGCCUUCGGGUUGUAAAGCACUUUUGGCAGGAAAGAAACGUCAUGGGUUAAUACCCCGUGAAACUGACGGUACCUGCAGAAUAAGCACCGGCUAACUACGUGCCAGCAGCCGCGGUAAUACGUAGGGUGCAAGCGUUAAUCGGAAUUACUGGGCGUAAAGCGUGCGCAGGCGGUUCGGAAAGAAAGAUGUGAAAUCCCAGAGCUCAACUGUGGAACUGCAUUUUUAACUACCGGGCUAGGGUGUGUCAGAGGGAGGUGGAAUUCCGCGUGUAGCAGUGAAAUGCGUAGAUAUGCGGAGGAACACCGAUGGCGAAGGCAGCCUCCUGGGAUAACACUGACGCUCAUGCACGAAAGCGUGGGGAGCAAACAGG